UACACGACCGUACCGCAAACCGACACUGGUGCGCGAGAUGAGUAUUCUAAGGCGCUUGAGAGAACUCAGGAGAAGGAACUCGGCAAAUUGACACCGUAACUUCGGAAGAAGGUGUGCCUUUAGUAGGUGAACCAUUUACUUGGGGAGCCCAAUGAGGCUGCAAAAAAUCGGUGGCUGCAACUGUUUAUUAAAAACACAGCACUCUGCUGAGACGAAAGUCGACGUAUAGGGUGUGACGCCUGCCCGGUGCUGGAAGAUUAAAUGAUGGGGUGCAAGCUCUUGAUUGAAGUCCCAGUAAACGGCGGCCGUAACAAUAACGGUCCUAAGGUAGCGAAAUUCCUUGUCGGGUAAGUUCCGACCUGCACGAAUGGCGUAAUGAUGGCCACACUGUCUCCUCCUGAGACUCAGCGAAGUUGAAAUGUUUGUGAUGAUGCAAUCUCCCCGCGGAAAGACGGAAAGACCCCAUGAACCUUUACUGUAGCUUUGUAUUGGACUUUGAACAGAUCUGUGUAGGAUAGGUGGGAGGCUUUGAAGUGUGGUCGCUAGAUCGCAUGGAGCCAACGUUGAAAUACCACCCUGGUGUGUUUGAGGUUCUAACCUAGGUCCAUUAUCUGGAUCGGGGACAGUGCAUGGUAGGCAGUUUGACUGGGGCGGUCUCCUCCCAAAGUGUAACGGAGGAGUUCGAAGGUACGCUAGGUACGGUCGGACAUCGUGCUAAUAGUGCAAUGGCAUAAGCGUGCUUAACUGCGAGACUGACAAGUCGAGCAGAUGCGAAAGCAGGACAUAGUGAUCCGGUGGUUCUGUAUGGAAGGGCCAUCGCUCAACGGAUAAAAGGUACUCUGGGGAUAACAGGCUGAUACCGCCCAAGAGUUCAUAUCGACGGUGGUGUUUGGCACCUCGAUGUCGGCUCAUCUCAUCCUGGGGCUGUAGCCGGUCCCAAGGGUAUGGCUGUUCGCCAAUUAAAGAGGUACGUGAGCUGGGUUUAAAACGUCGUGAGACAGUUUGGUCCCUAUCUUCCGUGGGCGCUGCAGAUUUGAGGAAGCCUGCUCCUAGUACGAGAGGACCGGAGUGGACGAACCUCUGGUGUAUCGGUUGUCACGCCAGUGGCAUUGCCGAGUAGCUAAGUUCGGAAGAGAUAACCGCUGAAAGCAUCUAAGCGGGAAACUCGUUUCAAGAUUAGAUCUGCCGGGGCCUUGAGCCCCCUAAAGAGUCGUUCAAGACCAGGACGUUGAUAGGUCAGGUGUGGAAGCCGAA
rnacentral:rRNA from 1 species